rnacentral:rRNA from 1 species
AACGAACGCUGGGGGCAUGCCUAACACAUGCAAGUCGAACGGACGGUGGCAACACCGUUAGUGGCGGACGGGUGAGUAACGCGUGGGAACCUGCCCAGCGGUGGGGGACAACCACGGGAAACUGUGGCUAAUACCGCAUACGCCGGAGGGAGCGAUCCUUUCGGGAACGAGUUAACGCCGCUGGAGGGGCCCGCGUUGGAUUAGGUAGUUGGUGAGGUAACGGCUCACCAAGCCUGCGAUCCGUAGCUGGUCUGAGAGGAUGGGCAGCCACACUGGGACUGCGACACGGCCCAGACUCCUACGGGAGGCAGCAGUGGGGAAUAUUGGACAAUGGGGGCAACCCUGAUCCAGCAAUGCCGCGUGAGUGAAGAAGGCCUUAGGGUUGUAAAGCUCUUUCGACGGGGACGAUGAUGACGGUACCCGUAGAAGAAGCCCCGGCUAACUCCGUGCCAGCCGCCGCAGUAACAC